UAUAUGUAUAUAUAUAUAUAUAUAUAUAUAUAUAUGUGUGUGUGUGUAUAUGCAGUGUGUACAGCCAUUUGCUACAGUAUUACACCUACAGCAGUGGCAAUGGAGGUCACAUUAGUAGUAGAAGUAGUAGUAGUAAUAGUA